UUGAACGCUGGCGGCAUGCCUUACACAUGCAAGUCGAACGGCAGCACGGGUGCUUGCACCUGGUGGCGAGUGGCGAACGGGUGAGUAAUACAUCGGAACAUGUCCUGUAGUGGGGGAUAGCCCGGCGAAAGCCGGAUUAAUACCGCAUACGAUCUACGGAUGAAAGCGGGGGACCUUCGGGCCUCGCGCUAUAGGGUUGGCCGAUGGCUGAUUAGCUAGUUGGUGGGGUAAAGGCCAACCAAGGCGACGAUCAGUAGCUGGUCUGAGAGGACGACCAGCCACACUGGGACUGAGACACGGCCCAGACUCCUACGGGAGGCAGCAGUGGGGAAUUUUGGACAAUGGGCGAAAGCCUGAUCCAGCAAUGCCGCGUGUGUGAAGAAGGCCUUCGGGUUGUAAAGCACUUUUGUCCGGAAAGAAAUCCUUGGCCCUAAUACGGUCGGGGGAUGACGGUACCGGAAGAAUAAGCGCCGGCUAACUACGUG
rnacentral:rRNA from 1 species